UCCUAGCUCAGUCGGUAGAGCAUGAGACUCUUAAUCUCAAGGUUGUGGGUUCGAGUCCCGCAUUGGGCAAAA